rnacentral:rRNA from 14 species
UAGCAAAUCGACUUCCAAGAAAAGCGAAUGAAGCAGCCCGUACCCUAAACCGACACAGGUAGUUGGGAUGAGAAUUCUAAGGAGCUCGAGAGAUUCAUGGCUAAGGAACUAGGCAAAAUAGACCUGUAACUUCGGGAGAAAGGUCGCCACCCUUUGGGGUGGCCGCAGUGAAAAGGUCCAGGCGGCUGUUUAUCAAA